rnacentral:misc_RNA from 1 species
AAGUCGUAACAAGGUUUCCGUAGGUGAACCUGCGGAAGGAUCAUUAUUGAAUUUCAAAGGGGUUGUUGCUGACUCCAUCCUGGAGUAUCUGUGCACGCCCCGACAUCCACACUUUCACCCCUUGUGCACUCUUGGUAGGACCGAAGAAAUUUGGUCCUAUGUCAUAUAACAUCCUUUGACGUUCCUUUGAACACAUUAUAUUAUUAUUGAAUAAUAACUUAUACAACUUUCAACAACGGAUCUCUUGGCUCUC